CACCACUACUAUGAUAUAGGGGUAUUAUAACUAAGUGCAUUUGUUUGUAACUUUUAGAAGGAAGAGAGAUGGACUCUUUGACACCCUUUUAGGACAAGAGAGGCAGCGGCCCUGCUGUCGGAAGUUACUGAUGCGUCUACAGGCAUACCAUAACUUGACCUUAUGCUGGGUGCCGGAGCACAAGGAUAUAGAGGGAAAUGAAAGGGCGGAUGUGCUUGCUGAGUCCGGAGUGAACCUCCAGCAAUUGUUUAAUAGUCUCAAGGAGCGCUGCAAAAAAAAGUUGAUAAAAUCGCUGGAAUGCGAGAGAAGGUUGUAAGCAAACGUAAUUGAUGUGCGACGAACGAGGCGGAACAUAGACGCUCUAUUUCCAAUGGAGAAGAUUGAGAUUUAAGUACAAUCAUUGGGAUGAUAACUGGACAUAACAAACACUAACUCGGAGGCGUUGGCCCAGUCAAAUACAAGGCUUUCCUGCGGCAAAAUGGUAUGAGAUAGUGCAUUGAAAUCUGUCUCCUUCAGGAGGGUGUUAAUGAUCAGAGAAGAGGAAAAGUUAACGAAGAAUCACAAUGGGACACAUGAUGGCCUACGCGGAUGUUAAGGUUGUUAUCAUUUGCUGCUGUUAUUGUGCCGCAAUUCGACCCAUUCCUAUUUUCUGUUCAAUAUUAAAACCAAGCCAAGUUUAUUGUGCCACCAAGUGAGUGGGGCUACUGCCUAGUGCAUCCUUCAAAAGGCAGGCCAAGCCAACUAUGCUGUCAUUUAUUGGUUGCUCAUUUGCACCAACAAGGACUCCAUGCCUUGCAAGCAAUUGAAAACCCAACAGCGUUUUGUAGAAACUUAUCCUCACCACUCUAGCUGAUGACUAUGUUGGAGUUGUUGAGCAAAUGUCUUUGACAAUCAACAGAUGAACACUGGAGUGGCAUGGACAGGAGCCGAAAAGUGG